UUAAGUUAAUAAGGGCGCACGGUGGAUGCCUUGGCACUAGGAGCCGACGAAGGACGUGACAAACGACGAUAUGCCUUGGGUAGCUGUAAGUAAGCGAUGAUCCAGGGAUUUCCGAAUGGGGGAACCCAACAGGUAAUACCUGUUACCUACAUCUGUUAAGGAUGUGAGGAGGAAGACGCAGUGAACUGAAACAUCUAAGUAGCUGCAGGAAGAGAAAGCAAAAGCGAUUGCCUUAGUAGCGGCGAGCGAAACGGCAGAAGGGCAAACCGAAGAGUUUACUCUUCGGGGUUGUAGGACUGCAAUGUGGACUCAAAGAUUAUAGAAGAAUGAUUUGGGAAGAUCAGCCAAAGAGAGUAAUAGCCUCGUAUUUAAAAUAGUCUUUGUACUUAGCAGUAUCCUGAGUACGGCGGGACACGUGAAAUCCCGUCGGAAUCUGGGAGGACCAUCUCCCAACCCUAAAUACUCCCUAGUGACCGAUAGUGAACCAGUACCGUGAGGGAAAGGUGAAAAGCACCCCGGGAGGGGAGUGAAAUAGAACCUGAAACCGUGUGCCUACAACAAGUUCGAGCCCGUUAAUGGGUGAGAGCGUGCCUUUUGUAGAAUGAACCGGCGAGUUACGUUAUGAUGCGAGGUUAAGUUGAAGAGACGGAGCCGUAGGGAAACCGAGUCUGAAUAGGGCGCCUUAGUAUCAUGACGUAGACCCGAAACCAUGUGACCUACCCAUGAGCAGGUUGAAGGUGCGGUAAGACGCACUGGAGGACCGAACCAGGGCACGUUGAAAAGUGCUUGGAUGACUUGUGGGUAGCGGAGAAAUUCCAAACGAACUUGGAGAUAGCUGGUUCUCUCCGAAAUAGCUUUAGGGCUAGCGUCGACAUUAGAGAUUCUUGGAGGUAGAGCACUGUUUGGGUGAGGGGUCCAUCCCGGAUUACCAAUCUCAGAUAAACUCCGAAUGCCAAUGAAUUAUGGUCGGCAGUCAGACUGCGAGUGCUAAGAUCCGUAGUCGAAAGGGAAACAGCCCAGACCACCAGCUAAGGUCCCAAAAUAAUUGUUAAGUGGAAAAGGAUGUGGGGUUGCACAGACAACUAGGAUGUUAGCUUAGAAGCAGCUAUUCAUUCAAAGAGUGCGUAAUAGCUCACUAGUCGAGUGACCCUGCGCCGAAAAUGUACCGGGGCUAAAACAAUUUACCGAAGCUGUGGAUACCUUUAUAGGUAUGGUAGGAGAGCGUUCUAUGUGUGAUGAAGGUAUACCGUGAGGAGUGCUGGAACGCAUAGAAGUGAGAAUGCCGGUAUGAGUAGCGAAAGACAGGUGAGAAUCCUGUCCACCGUAAGACUAAGGUUUCCAGGGGAAGGCUCGUCCGCCCUGGGUUAGUCGGGACCUAAGGAGAGACCGAAAGGUGUAUCCGAUGGACAACAGGUUGAUAUUCCUGUACUAGAGUAUGUAGUGAUGGAGGGACGCAGUAGGCUAACUAAAGCAGACGAUUGGAAGAGUCUGUCUAAGCAGUGAGGUGUGAAUUGAGUCAAAUGCUUAAUUCUAUAACAUUGAGCUGUGAUGGGGAGCGAAGUUUAGUAGCGAAGUUAGUGACGUCACACUGCCAAGAAAAGCUUCUAGCGUUUAAACAUACUCUACCCGUACCGCAAACCGACACAGGUAGUCGAGGCGAGUAGCCUCAGGUGAGCGAGAGAACUCUCGUUAAGGAACUCGGCAAAAUGACCCCGUAACUUCGGGAGAAGGGGUGCUGACUUAAAGUCAGCCGCAGUGAAUAGGCCCAAGCAACUGUUUAUCAAAAACACAGCUCUCUGCUAAAUCGUAAGAUGAUGUAUAGGGGGUGACGCCUGCCCGGUGCUGGAAGGUUAAGAGGAGUGCUUAGCGUAAGCGAAGGUAUGAAUUGAAGCCCCAGUAAACGGCGGCCGUAACUAUAACGGUCCUAAGGUAGCGAAAUUCCUUGUCGGGUAAGUUCCGACCCGCACGAAAGGCGUAAUGAUUUGGGCACUGUCUCAACGAGAGACUCGGUGAAAUUUUAGUACCUGUGAAGAUGCAGGUUACCCGCGACAGGACGGAAAGACCCCAUGGAGCUUUACUGCAGUUUGAUAUUGAGUGUCUGUACCACAUGUACAGGAUAGGUAGGAGUCUAAGAAAUCGGGACGCCAGUUUCGAAGGAGACGCUGUUGGGAUACUACCCUUGUGUUAUGGCCACUCUAACCCAGAUAGGUGAUCCCUAUCGGAGACAGUGUCUGACGGGCAGUUUGACUGGGGCGGUCGCCUCCUAAAAGGUAACGGAGGCGCCCAAAGGUUCCCUCAGAAUGGUUGGAAAUCAUUCGCAGAGUGUAAAGGUAUAAGGGAGCUUGACUGCGAGAGCUACAACUCGAGCAGGGACGAAAGUCGGGCUUAGUGAUCCGGUGGUUCCGUAUGGAAGGGCCAUCGCUCAACGGAUAAAAGCUACCCUGGGGAUAACAGGCUUAUCUCCCCCAAGAGUUCACAUCGACGGGGAGGUUUGGCACCUCGAUGUCGGCUCGUCGCAUCCUGGGGCUGUAGUCGGUCCCAAGGGUUGGGCUGUUCGCCCAUUAAAGCGGCACGCGAGCUGGGUUCAGAACGUCGUGAGACAGUUCGGUCCCUAUCCGUCGCGGGCGUAGGAAAUUUGAGAGGAUCUGCUCCUAGUACGAGAGGACCAGAGUGGACUUACCGCUGGUGUACCAGUUGUCUUGCCAAAGGCAUCGCUGGGUAGCUAUGUAGGGAAGGGAUAAACGCUGAAAGCAUCUAAGUGUGAAACCCACCUCAAGAUGAGAUUUCCCAUGAUUAUAUAUCAGUAAGAGCCCUGAGAGAUGAUCAGGUAGAUAGGUUAGAAGUGGAAGUGUGGCGACACAUGUAGCGGACUAAUACUAAUAGCUCGAGGACUUAUCCAA
rnacentral:rRNA from 2 species